rnacentral:rRNA from 1 species
UCGAGAAUAAUUCACAAUGGGGGCAACCCUGAUGGUGCAACGCCGCGUGGAGGAUACGGUCUUCGGAUUGUAAACUCCUGUCAUCCGGGAGUUAGUACCGGAAGAGGAAGGGACGGCUAACUUCGUGCCAGCAGCCGCGGUAAUACGAAGGUCCCGAGCGUUGUUCGGAAUCACUGGGCGUAAAGGGAGCGUAGGCGGCGCGGUAAGUCAGAUGUGAAAUCCCGGGGCUCAACCCCGGAACUGCAUCCGAUACUGCCGUGCUAGAGGAUUGGAGAGGUAGCUGGAAUUCUUGGUGUAGCAGUGAAAUGCGUGGAGAUCAAGAGGAACACUCGUGGCGAAAGCGAGCUACUGGACAAUAUCUGACGCUGAGGCUCGAAGGCCAGGGUAGCGAAAGGGAUUAGAUACCCCGGUAGU